rnacentral:rRNA from 1 species
UACGUAGGUGACAAGCGUUGUCCGGAUUUACUGGGCGUAAAGAGCGCGCAGGCGGUCGAUCAAGUCGAGUGUGAAAGCCCCCGGCUCAACUGGGGAGGGUCAUUCGAUACUGAUCGACUCGAAGGCAGGAGAGGGUAGUGGAAUUCCCGGUGUAGUGGUGAAAUGCGUAGAUAUGGGAGGAACACCAGUGGCGAAGGCGACUACCUGGCCUGUUCUUGACGCUGAGGCGCGAAAGCUAGGGGAGCAAACGGG